UACGGGGGGGGCAAGCGUUGUUCGGAAUUACUGGGCGUAAAGGGCUCGUAGGUGGCCAACUAAGUCACACGUGAAAUCCCUCGGCUUAACCGGGGAACUGCGUGUGAUACUGGAUGGCUUGAGUUUGGGAGAGGGAUGCGGAAUUCCAGGUGUAGCGGUGAAAUGCGUAGAUAUCUGGAGGAACACCGGUGGCGAAGGCGAGUCUCUGGACAGUUACUGACGCUGAGGCACGAAGGCCAGGGGAGCAAACGGG
rnacentral:rRNA from 1 species